rnacentral:rRNA from 1 species
GCUCAGAAUGAACGCUGGCGGCGUGCAUAACACAUGCAAGUCGAACGAGAAAUCCGCCUUCGGGUGGGAGAGUAAAGUGGCGCACGGGUGAGUAACGCGUGGGUAACCUGCCCCUGAAUUCGGGAUAACUCCGCGAAAGCGGUGCUAAUACCGAAUGUCGUCACAGGGACCGUGGUCCCUGGGAUGAAAGGUGACCUCUCCAUGGAAGUUGCCGUUCGGGGAGGGGCUCGCGUACCAUUAGCUUGUUGGUGGGGUAAUGGCCUACCAAGGCUACGAUAGUUAGCUGGUCUGAGAGGAUGAUCAGCCACACUGGCACUGAAACACGGGCCAGACUCCUACGGGAGGCAGCAGUGAGGAAUUUUGCGCAAUGGGGGAAACCCUGACGCAGCAACGCCGCGUGAGUGAAGAAGGCUUUCGGGUCGUAAAGCUCUGUCAAGUGGGAAAAACGACUUCCCGUUAACAGCGGGAAGGCCUGAUGGUACCACUGGAGGAAGCACCGGCUAACUCCGUGCCAGCAGCCGCGGUAAUACGGAGGGUGCAAGCGUUGUUCGGAAUUACUGGGCGUAAAGAGCGUGUAGGCGGCAAGGUAAGUCAGGCGUGAAAGCCCUGGGCUUAACCCGGGAAGUGCGUUUGAAACUGCCUCGCUCGAGUAUGGGAGAGGAGAGUGGAAUUCCCGGUGUAGAGGUGAAAUUCGUAGAUAUCGGGAGGAACACCCGUGGCGAAGGCGACUCUCUGGACCAAUACUGACGCUGAGACGCGAAAGCGUGGGGAGCAAACAGGAUUAGAUACCCUGGUAGUCCACGCCGUAAACGAUGAGCACUAGGUGUAGCGGGUAUUGACCCCUGCUGUGCCGUAGCUAACGCA